UACGGGAGGCAGCAGUGGGGAAUAUUGCACAAUGGGCGCAAGCCUGAUGCAGCCAUGCCGCGUGUAUGAAGAAGGCCUUCGGGUUGUAAAGUACUUUCAGUCGUGAGGAAGGUGUUAAGGUUAAUAACCUUAGCAAUUGACGUUAGCGACAGAAGAAGCACCGGCUAACUCCGUGCCAGCAGCCGCGGUAAUACGGAGGGUGCGAGCGUUAAUCGGAAUUACUGGGCGUAAAGGGCACGCAGGCGGUUAAUUAAGUUGGAUGUGAAAUCCCCGGGCUUAACCUGGGAAUGGCAUUCAAGACUGGUUAGCUAGAGUCUUGUAGAGGGGGUAGAAUUCCAUGUGUAGCGGUGAAAUGCGUAGAGAUGUGGAGGAAUCCGGUGGCGAAGGCGGCCCCUGGACAAAGGCUGACGCUCAUGUGCGAAAGCGUGGGGAGCAAAC
rnacentral:rRNA from 1 species